rnacentral:rRNA from 1 species
AUAGAUACCCCGGUAGUCCACGCCGUAAACGAUGAGUGCUAAGUGUUAGAGGGUUUCCGCCCUUUAGUGCUGCAGCUAACGCAUUAAGCACUCCGCCUGGGGAGUACGGCCGCAAGGCUGAAACUCAAAGGAAUUGACGGGGGCCCGCACAAGCGGUGGAGCAUGUGGUUUAAUUCGAAGCAACGCGAAGAACCUUACCAGGUCUUGACAUCCUCUGCCAACCCUAGAGAUAGGGCGUUCCCCUUCGGGGGACAGAGUGACAGGUGGUGCAUGGUUGUCGUCAGCUCGUGUCGUGAGAUGUUGGGUUAAGUCCCGCAACGAGCGCAACCCUUGAUCUUAGUUGCCAGCAUUUAGUUGGGCACUCUAAGGUGACUGCCGGUGACAAACCGGAGGAAGGUGGGGAUGACGGUCAAAUCAUCAUGCCCCUUAUGACCUGGGCUACACACGUGCUACAAUGGAUGGUACAAAGAGCUGCGAACCCGCGAGGGUAAGCGAAUCUCAAUAAAGCCAUUCUCAGUUCGGAUUGUAGGCUG